rnacentral:rRNA from 1 species
GAUGAACGCUAGCGGCGUGCCUAAUACAUGCAAGUCGAGCGAACAGACGAGGAGCUUGCUCCUCUGACGUUAGCGGCGGACGGGUGAGUAACACGUGGAUAACCUACCUAUAAGACUGGGAUAACUUCGGGAAACCGGAGCUAAUACCGGAUAAUAUAUUGAACCGCAUGGUUCAAUAGUGAAAGACGGUUUUGCUGUCACUUAUAGAUGGAUCCGCGCCGCAUUAGCUAGUUGGUAAGGUAACGGCUUACCAAGGCGACGAUGCGUAGCCGACCUGAGAGGGUGAUCGGCCACACUGGAACUGAGACACGGUCCAGACUCCUACGGGAGGCAGCAGUAGGGAAUCUUCCGCAAUGGGCGAAAGCCUGACGGAGCAACGCCGCGUGAGUGAUGAAGGUCUUCGGAUCGUAAAACUCUGUUAUUAGGGAAGAACAAAGGUGUAAGUAACUAUGCACGUCUUGACGGUACCUAAUCAGAAAGCCACGGCUAACUACGUG